rnacentral:rRNA from 1 species
AGAGUUUGAUCAUGGCUCAGGAUGAACGCUGGCGGCGUGCCUAAUACAUGCAAGUCGAACGGUUGCCUUCGGGCAAUAGUGGCGACCGGGUGCGUAACACGUAGCUGACCUGCCCUGUGACGGGGGAUAACGUCCCGAAAGGGAUGCUAAUACCGCGUAAGUUCGCCGAGUUUAGAAGUCGGUGAGGAAAGGCACUUCGGUGUCGUCACAGGAGGGGGCUGCGCGCCAUCAGGUAGUUGGUGUGGUAACGGCGCACCAAGCCAACGACGGCUAGGGGACCUGAGAGGGUGACCCCCCACACUGGCACUGACACACGGGCCAGACUCCUACGGGAGGCAGCAGUAAGGGAUAUUGCCCAAUGGGCGCAAGCCUGAGGCAGCAACGCCGCGUGCGGGAAGAAGGGCUUCGGCUCGUAAACCGCUUUUCUCCAGGAAGAGCAAGGACGGUACUGGAGAAGAAUUCGCACUUCCCCU